AGGUAAGCUACUAAGAGCGAAUGGUGGAUGCCUUGACUGGUAAAGGCGAUGAAGGACGUACUAGACUGCGAUAAGCUACGGGGAGCUGUCAAGAAGCUUUGAUCCGUAGAUUUCCGAAUGGGGCAACCCAAUGUAUAGAGAUAUGCAUUACCUAUAUAGGAGCGAACGAGGGGAAUUGAAACAUCUUAGUACCCUCAGGAAAAGAAAUCAAUAGAGAUUGCGUCAGUAGCGGCGAGCGAAAGCGCAAGAGGGCAAACCCAGUGCUUGCACUGGGGGUUGUAGGACUGCAAUGUGCAAGAGCUGAGUUUAGCAGAACAUUCUGGAAAGUAUAGCCAUAGAGGGUGAUAGUCCCGUAUGCGAAAAACAAAGCUUAGCUAGCAGUAUCCUGAGUAGGGCGGGACACGAGGAAUCCUGUCUGAAUCCGGGUCGACCACGAUCCAACCCUAAAUACUAAUACCAGAUCGAUAGUGCACAAGUACCGUGAGGGAAAGGUGAAAAGAACUGAGGUGAUCAGAGUGAAAUAGAACCUGAAACCAU
rnacentral:rRNA from 1 species